rnacentral:lncRNA from 1 species
GUGGUUGGUAGCUGACAUCAAGCUGCCCACCUUCCCUGUUCAGCUACAUUCUACCUUUGCUCCAGGACCCAAGAGAGAGCUUGUUCUGAUCAUUGGCUUCACUCUGGCCAAAUACCCUAGCAUAAGAACAUUAGUGAACAUCAGCCUCAGUUUCCCUUAUUGUAAAUGAAGAAGAUUAACAGCUCUCCCCCUAAGGGGAUCUGACAUCAUCGGUAACUUUUAGAAUGGCUAGGCAGGUUGUCUGGGAGUUUCACUCACUACCCAGAGGGUGAGUGCUGACAGGGAGCGCACUGGCUGCUUUAUGUCCCUGUUCUCAUUCGAUGCUCACCCUGUAAGUGACUCUAACUGCCACAAGGACUGUGUCACUUGCCUAAGGUCACACACAGACAGAGGAAGCGCCUACCUCAGCUUCUGUAUGACUUUAAAGCCCACACACAGUGCCUGGGGCAACCUCGAAAUAACUGUGGUCUUUGUGAACCUACCCUGGCCGUUCUUUUCCAUUCUGUCCCCCUGGGCAUGCUGGACUCUUAAGAAGAUGAGGCUCUGGUUGAGCCCUUCUAGGAAGCCACACUGAGUAGGAGGAGAGUCAGGUGCAGAAAUGACCUUUGUAAAGGGCGCUGCUCCUCUACCAGAUGGGGGUAGGUGAGAGGCAGCUGGGGGAGCAGCCAUAGUCAAAAACCGGUCAGAAAGAAGAAAGCAUCAGAAUAAACCCACAGUGGAAAAUGUCUCAAAGGGGGGAAAAAAAGAAGUGGAGGCACCCAGAGGAAAAGGAAGUAGAGCUUGGAGCCCAUCCAGGUAGGACUUUGGGGGCCCAGAAAAAGCCCGUGGGGAUUAAGAGGCAAAGGGCCUUGUGGGUAAGCCUGUAAGCUCUGCUCUGGUAAGACGGCCACUGGCUGGACAGGAAAGGCCAGGAGUGAAGAGAAGGCUAAGGAUAGGAGUCCAGCAGAAGCCGCAACCAAGCCUUAGCCCUUGGGUGGCACACCUGCCUAACUGGGCUUCUCAGGCUGGAAUAGGGCCCGCUGAGGAAGGGCUGAGAGGAGGAAGGCAGGCUUCAGGUUGGAGGCUUCACUGGUUCAGGUUCAGGGAAGGGCCAUGUGUGUGUUACAGUGUGUCCCAGGAGCGCUGGACAAACAGUUGUCUUCUCAUGGUGGCCCGGGGUAAGAGGGAGGGACCAGAGGGAGGUGACAAGUGACACUGAUUUAUCCCUCCUCCUUGGUUCAUCACCGAGGUCCUUGAAGGCCAGAGCGUUUGCCUCAGUCCUUGGAACUGUAACCUGUGUUGAGAGACUCUCCUUCUUUCUCCUUUUACGGCCAAAGAAAGGGACUUGGGGCAUUCUACCCGGGGUGACAUGGAUUCUGAGGCAACCGGUUUGUUUACUCAGCGCCUCCCCUUAUCUCCAGGCAGUGUUCUGCUUCUGCCCAAAACUGCCCAAGGCCCAGCAAGGGUGGGAGCAGCCUCUGGAGGCCUUGGCUGGACUG